GAAAUGCGAUAAGUAAUGUGAAUUGCAGAAUUCAGUGAAUCAUCGAAGCUUUGAACGCAUCUUGCGCCUUUUGGUAUUGCGAAAGGCAUGCCUGUUUGAGUGUCAUGAAAUCUCAAUCCCCCCGGGUUUUCUGAACCCGAGGUGGACUUGGACAUGGUUGUCUGCCGUCUCGUACGGCUCGCCUUAAAUGACUCAGUGGGAUCUUCAGCAUCCGUGGCAUACGUAAUAAGUUUCGUCUCGUCCCUUGCUGUGCGUACCGCUCAUAACCUGCCAUCGCGCACCACUUUUGACUCUUCCCUCAAAUCAGGUAGGACUACCCGCUUAACUUAA
rnacentral:misc_RNA from 1 species